CAAGGAAUAGUAGGCAAUGGGGGAAACCCUGACCUCGCGACGCCGCGUGAGGGAUGAAGGCUUUCGGGUCGUAAACCUCUUUUCUCGGGGAUGAAUAAUGACAGUACUCGAGGAAUAAGUCACGGCUAACUACGUGCCAGCAGCCGCGGUAAAACGUAGGUGGCGAACGUUAUCCGGAUUCACUGGGCGUAAAGAGUGCGUAGGCGGUUCGUUAAGUCGGAUGUAAAAUCUCCUGGCUCAACUGGGAGGCACCAUUCGAUACUGGCGAGCUGGAGUGCAUCAGAGGAGAAUGGAAUUCCCGGUGUAGUGGUGGAAUGCGUAGAUAUCGGGAGGAACACCAGUGGCGAAAGCGGUUCUCUGGGAUGUUACUGACGCUGUUGCACGAAAGCGUGGGGAGCAAACA
rnacentral:rRNA from 1 species